UAAAUUAAUCAAUUAUUAUUAGUUAAGGUCUUGAAAUUUAAAAAAUUUGGCGGUGUUUUAAGUCUAUUCAGAGGAACCUGUUCUAUAAAUGAUAUUCCACGAUUUGUUAAAUUUAUUUUCUUAGUUUGUAUAUCGUUGUGUAGAAAAUUUUAUAAGAAAAUUUAAUUUUCAUAAAGUUUAAUUAAAAAAUAAAUCAAAUCAAGGUGCAGUUUAUAAGUAAGUAAGAAAUGGGUUACAUUAUUAUUAUAUGGAAUUAAUAUUUAUUAAAUUUUGUAUUUUUAUUGGAUUUGUAAGUAAAUUUUUUUAAAUUAAAAAAUUGAUUAU
rnacentral:rRNA from 1 species